UGGCUCAGGACGGAACGCUGGCGGCGUGCCUAAUACAUGCAAGUCGAACGAACUCUGGUAUUGAUUGGUGCUUGCAUCAUGAUUUACAUUUGAGUGAGUGGCGAACUGGUGAGUAACACGUGGGAAACCUGCCCAGAAGCGGGGGAUAACACCUGGAAACAGAUGCUAAUACCGCAUAACAACUUGGACCGCAUGGUCCGAGCUUGAAAGAUGGCUUCGGCUAUCACUUUUGGAUGGUUCCCGCGGCGUAUUAGCUAGAUGGUGGGGUAACGGCUCACCAUGGCAAUGAUACGUAGCCGACCUGAGAGGGUAAUCGGCCACAUGGACUGAGACACGCC
rnacentral:rRNA from 2 species